rnacentral:lncRNA from 1 species
AUCAGAAAUAUACUUAUGCUGAUUAAGGAUCAUUCCACCAGGAACAACUGACAUUUCAAGGCCCAAAAAAUAAUGCAAAGACCCUAGGUCUUUGAUUUAAAACUGAUCAUCCAGAAACAGUUUCAGGGCAGUAAUCUCUUCACUGUCAUCCCCAGUAAGGAUAGUAUCAUCCACAUAGACUGCCACAACCACAAGGGACCCAGGUUUACCUUUGAUGAACAAAGAAUCUGUCAUCCCCAGUAAGGAUAAUAUCAUCCACAUAGACUGCCACAACCACAAGGGAACCAGGUUUAAAUAGUCAUUCAAAGAAUGUUUGUACCCUCUGGAAUAAAGAGCAGAAGACAGUUUGGCAUACCAUUGUCUGGAUGUUUGUCUCAGCCCAUAGAGGGAUUUCUUGAGCUUACAAACCAGAUGAGAAGGAGUAGAAGAUGUAGGAGAAAUAGAACCAGAAAGAGGAGCAAAGACUGUCAAACCUGGGGGGAAGUUUCAUAUAAACUUCCUCAUCCAAAUCCCCGUGGAGAAAAGAAGUAUUGACAUCAAGUUGAAACAGAGGCCAGUGAUUCUUGACAGCCACAGCAAUCUCUUCAACUUGAGUAUCGCCCCUAAUAACAAGCCUAGCUUUAUACCUUUCAACAGUACCAUCAGCCUUGUAUUUGAUUUUAN